GUUUUCCAUCAAAAUGUUUAGGUAAUAUUUUACAUAAUGACAAAUGUAAAAUUGAUGUUAGCUGAAAUAGGCCAUAAUGCGUUUGACAUUCCAGCAUUAGAACAUAAUCAGAAACCAUUUAAUGUUACUGAUGUUGUUUGAAACGAAAUCUACAAAUAUCUAGCAUGUGGAUUCACAGCCCAUUAGAACUCUGUUUUUGAAGGAAC
rnacentral:lncRNA from 1 species